rnacentral:tRNA from 1 species
GGAUUGUGGCUCAGUGGCAGAGCGCUUGCCUAGCAUGUGUGAGGCACUGGGUUCGAUCCUCAACACCA